rnacentral:rRNA from 1 species
GACGAACGCUGGCGGCGUGCUUAACACAUGCAAGUCGAACGGAAAGGCCCCUUUGGGGGUCCUCGAGUGGCGACCGGGUGAGUAACACGUGCGUAACCUGCCCUUGACUUCGGGAUAACUUCAGGAAACUGGGGCUAAUACCGGAUAGGAAUCCUUGCUGCAUGGUGGGGGUUGGAAAGCUUCGGCGGUUUUGGCUGGACUCGCGGCUUAUCAGCUUGUUGGUGGGGUAGUGGCUUACCAAGGCUUUGACGGGUAGCCGGCCUGAGAGGGCGACCGGCCACAUUGGGACUGAGAUACGGCCCAGACUCCGACGGGAGGCAGAAGGGGGGAAGAUUGCACAAGGGGCGGAAGCCUGAUGCAGCAACGCCGCGGGCGGGAGGACGGCCUUCGGGUUGUAAACCGCUUUCAGCAGGGGCGAAGCUUGUGGUGACGGUACCUGCAGAAGAAGCACCGGCUAACUACGUG